rnacentral:rRNA from 1 species
GAUCAUGGCUCAGAACGAACGCUGACGGCAUGCCUAACACAUGCAAGUCGAACGAGACUUCGGUCUAGUGGCGGACGGGUGAGUAACGCGUAGGAACCUGCCAAGCAGUGGGGAAUAACAGCUGGAAACGGCUGCUAAUACCGCAUACGCCCUACGGGGGAAAGCCGGGGAUCUUCGGACCUGGCGCUAGUGGAUGAGCCCGCGUGAGAUUAGCUUGUUGGUGGGGUAAUGGCCUACCAAGGCAACGAUCUCUAGCUGGUCUGAGAGGACGAUCAGCCACACUGGGACUGAGACACGGCCCAGACUCCUACGGGAGGCAGCAGUGGGGAAUAUUGGACAAUGGGCGAAAGCCUGAUCCAGCAAUGCCGCGUGUGUGAAGAAGGCCUGAGGGUUGUAAAGCACUUUCAAUCGUGAAGAAAAGUCACAGGCUAAUACCCUGUGACCUUGACGUUAACGAUACAAGAAGCACCGGCUAACUCCGUG